UAUAUGGAGCUUGCUUUAUAUAACUUAGCAGCGAACGGGUGAGUAACACGUAGAUAAUCUAUCCUAUACUGGGGGAUAGCCCGAUGAAAGUUGGAUUAAUACCGCAUAUAGCUAUAUAGUUGCAUGAUUAUGUAGUGAAAGAUUUAUUGGUAUAGGAGGAGUCUGCGGCACAUUAGCUAGUAGGUGAGGUAAAGGCUUACCUAGGCGACGAUGUGUAGCCGGUCUGAGAGGAUGAACGGCCACAAUGGAACUGAGACACGGUCCAUACUCCUACGGGAGGCAGCAGUGGGGAAUAUUGCACAAUGGGGGAAACCCUGAUGCAGCAACGCCGCGUGAGUGAAGAAGGUUUUCGGAUUGUAAAGCUCUGUUAGCAGGGAAGAGGAAGGACGGUACCUGCAGAGGAAGCCACGGCUAACUACGUGCCAGCAGCCGCGGUAAUACGUAGGUGGCAAGCGUUGUUCGGAAUAACUGGGCGUAAAGGAUGCGUAGGCGGUUAAACAAGUUAUAUGUUAAAUAUAUAGGCUUAACCUGUAGAAAGCAUAUAAAACUGUUUAACUAGAGUGCAGGAGAGGUAAGUGGAAUUCCUAGUGUAGCGGUGAAAUGCGUAGAGAUUAGGAAGAACACCAGUGGCGAAGGCGACUUACUGGACUGUAACUGACGCUGAGGCAUGAGAGCAUGGGGAGCAAACAGGAUUAGAUACCCUGGUAGUCCAUGCUGUAAACGAUGGGUACUAGGUGUGGGUUGUGAAUAACAAUUCGUGCCGUCGCAAACGCAAUAAGUACCCCGCCUGAGGAGUACGAUCGCAAGAUUAAAACUCAAAG
rnacentral:rRNA from 1 species